GGGGAAUAUUGCACAAUGGGGGAAACCCUGAUGCAGCAACGCCGCGUAAGCGAUGAAGGCCUUCGGGUUGUAAAGCUCUGUCUUCGCUGACGAUAAUGACGGUAAGCGAGGAGGAAGCCACGGCUAACUACGUGCCAGCAGCCGCGGUAAUACGUAGGUGGCAAGCGUUGUCCGGAAUUACUGGGCGUAAAGGAUGCGUAGGCGGCCUCUUAAGUGGGAUGUGAAAUGCCGGGGCUUAACACCGGAGGUGCAUUCCAUACUGGGAGGCUAGAGUGCAGGAGAGGAAAGCGGAAUUCCCAGUGUAGCGGUGAAAUGCGUAGAGAUUGGGAGGAACACCAGUGGCGAAGGCGGCUUUCUGGACUGUAACUGACGCUGAGGCAUGAAAGUGUGGGGAGCAAAC
rnacentral:rRNA from 1 species